rnacentral:rRNA from 1 species
AGUUUUCGGACAAUGGAUGUAGAGGAAAGUGGCGGACGGGUGAGUAACGCGUGAGGAACCUGCCUUGAAGAGGGGGACAACAGUUGGAAAUGACUGCUAAUACCGCAUGAUGUAUUUGGAAGGCAUCUUCUGAAUACCAAAGAUUUAUCGCUUCAAGAUGGCCUCGCGUCUGAUUAGCUGGUUGGCGGGGUAACGGCCCACCAAGGCGACGAUCAGUAGCCGGACUGAGAGGUUGACCGGCCACAUUGGGACUGAGAUACGGCCCAGACUCC